CUGACUGACCGAUAGUGAACCAGUACCGUGAGGGAAAGGCGAAAAGAACCCCGGCGAGGGGAGUGAAAAAGAACCUGAAACCGUGUACGUACAAGCAGUGGGAGCACGCUUAGGCGUGUGACUGCGUACCUUUUGUAUAAUGGGUCAGCGACUUAUAUUCUGUAGCAAGGUUAACCGAAUAGGGGAGCCGAAGGGAAACCGAGUCUUAACUGGGCGUUAAGUUGCAGGGUAUAGACCCGAAACCCGGUGAUCUAGCCAUGGGCAGGUUGAAGGUUGGGUAACACUAACUGGAGGACCGAACCGACUAAUGUUGAAAAAUUAGCGGAUGACUUGUGGCUGGGGGUGAAAGGCCAAUCAAACCGGGAGAUAGCUGGUUCUCCCCGAAAGCUAUUUAGGUAGCGCCUCGUGAAUUCAUCUCCGGGGGUAGAGCACUGUUUCGGCAAGGGGGUCAUCCCGACUUACCAACCCGAUGCAAACUGCGAAUACCGGAGAAUGUUAUCACGGGAGACACACGGCGGGUGCUAACGUCCGUCGUGAAGAGGGAAACAACCCAGACCGCCAGCUAAGGUCCCAAAGUCAUGGUUAAGUGGGAAACGAUGUGGGAAGGCCCAGACAGCCAGGAUGUUGGCUUAGAAGCAGCCAUCAUUUAAAGAAAGCGUAAUAGCUCACUGGUCGAGUCGGCCUGCGCGGAAGAUGUAACGGGGCUAAACCAUGCACCGAAGCUGCGGCAGCGACGCUGAUGCGUUGUUGGGUA
rnacentral:rRNA from 1 species